UACGGAGGGUGCGAGCGUUAAUCGGAAUUACUGGGCGUAAAGGGUGCGUAGGUUGUUAUUCAAGUUAUAUGCUAAAGACCCGGGCUUAACCUGGGGGUUGCGUAUAAAACUGAUUGACUAGAGUACAGCAGAGGGUAUGGGAAUUUCCGGUGUAGCGGUGAAAUGCGUAGAGAUCGGGAGGAACACUAGUGGCGAAGGCGCAUACCUGGGCUGAUACUGACACUGAGGCACGAAAGCGUGGGUAGCGAACAGG
rnacentral:misc_RNA from 1 species